AAAGUCGUAACAAGGUUUCCGUAGGUGAACCUGCGGAAGGAUCAUUACAAAUCUGGUUGUUUGGUGUUUGGGGGGUUGGUUGGUGUUGUUUUUGGUUGAUUGAGGUUGGCUGUUGGCUGUUGACUGAGGUUGACUGUUGACUGUUGACUGAGGUUGAUUGAACAGUGCCAUCUAACUAACCCCCCAAUCCAACACAUUUACGCUUGUUGUGUUUGACUGAGUUAUGCUAACAAUAAUAAAAGACAACUUUUAACAAUGGAUCUCUUGGCUCUU
rnacentral:misc_RNA from 1 species